UCUCCGUUGGUGAACCAGCGGAGGGAUCAUUAUCGAGUUUAUAACUCCCAAACCCUAUGUGAACUUACCACUUGUUGCUUCGGCGCGCGCUUCGGCGCCGCCGAGGACACUUAAACUCUUUGUUUUUAUAAGCAUUUCUGAGUGGCCGAAAGGCAAAAUACAAAUGAAUCAUAACUUUCAACAACGGAUCUCUUGGUUCUG
rnacentral:misc_RNA from 1 species